UUACUGUUGUGAGAUGUACUGGGUUGGGCUGGGAUGUUAACUUUCCCUGCAGCAGCCCAUAUAUUGCUGUGCUCUGCGCUCGUAGCUAAAAUAGCAAUGGUAUCACACCAGCGUUGUGUCUGCUGCUGAGCAAUGCUGGCACAGCAUCA